rnacentral:rRNA from 1 species
CCGGAGCUAACGCGUUAAGUAGACCGCCUGGGGAGUACGGCCGCAAGGUUAAAACUCAAAUGAAUUGACGGGGGCCCGCACAAGCGGUGGAGCAUGUGGUUUAAUUCGAUGCAACGCGAAGAACCUUACCUGGUCUUGACAUCCACAGAACUUUCCAGAGAUGGAUUGGUGCCUUCGGGAACUGUGAGACAGGUGCUGCAUGGCUGUCGUCAGCUCGUGUUGUGAAAUGUUGGGUUAAGUCCCGCAACGAGCGCAACCCUUAUCCUUUGUUGCCAGCGAUUAGGUCGGGAACUCAAAGGAGACUGCCAGUGAUAAACUGGAGGAAGGUGGGGAUGACGUCAAGUCAUCAUGGCCCUUACGACCAGGGCUACACACGUGCUACAAUGGCGCAUACAAAGAGAAGCGACCUCGCGAGAGCAAGCGGACCUCAUAAAGUGCGUCGUAGUCCGGAUUGGAGUCUGCAACUCGACUCCAUGAAGUCGGAAUCGCUAGUAAUCGUGGAUCAGAAUGCCACGGUGAAUACGUUCCCGGGCCUUGUACACACCGCCCGUCACACCAUGGGAGUGGGUUGCAAAAGAAGUAGGUAGCUUAACCUUCGGGAGGGCGCUUACCACUUUGUGAUUCAUGACUGGGGUGAAGUCGUAACAAGGUAACCGUAGGGGAACCUGCGGUUGGA